rnacentral:rRNA from 1 species
GACGAACGCUGGCGGCGUGCUUAACACAUGCAAGUCGAACGGAAAGGCCCUGCUUUUGUGGGGUGCUCGAGUUGCGAACGGGGUAGUAACACGUGAGUAACCUGCCCUGGACUUUGGGAUAACUUCAGGAAACUGGGGCUAAUACUGGAUAGGAGCUCUUGCUGCAUGGUUGGGGUUGGAAAGGUUCGGCGGUUGGGUAUGUGCUCGCGGCUUAUCAGCUUGUUGGUGGGGUAGUGGCUUACCAAGGCUUUGACGGGUAGCGGGCCUGAGAGGGUGACCGGCCACAUUGGGACUGAGAUACGGCCCAGAGUACUACGGGAGGCAGCAGUGGGGAAUAUUGCACAAUGGGCGGAAGCCUGAUGCAGCAACGCCGCGUGCGGGAUGACGGCCUUCGGGUUGUAAGCCGCUUUCGCCUGUGACGAAGCGUGAGUGACGGUAAUGGGUAAAGAAGCACCGGCUAACUACGUG